rnacentral:rRNA from 1 species
UACAGAGGUCGCAAGCGUUGUUCGGAUUUACUGGGCGUAAAGGGCGCGUAGGCGGUUUGGUGUGUCGAGUGUGAAAUCUCCGGGCUCAACCCGGAAAGUGCGCUCGAAACUGCCGGACUGGAGGCCGGGAGAGGGAAUCGGAAUGCAGGGUGUAGCGGUGAAAUGCGUUGAUAUCCUGCAGAACACCGGAGGCGAAGGCGGAUUCCUGGAACGGCACUGACGCUGAGGCGCGAAAGUCGGGGGAGCAAAC